AGGAUUUCUGCUGUCCUGACUGCAGUGGGAAGAUGGGCAGGGUUUCUGCUGUUCUGACUGCAGUGGAAGAUGGGCAGAGGUUUUGCUGUUCUGACUGCAGUAGGAAGCUCAUUUUCACCACCGAGGAGUUAGAACAGAGAGGAGAUGUGACCUGGAAGUGCAGAGUCUCUGAAGGAAGGAAGGAAGAAUCUGCAUGCUUGAUAAACUGCCAUGAUGUUCUCAGAGAGGGAGGGUUUGUUGCUAGGUACCACUCUUUGAGUCCUGGUAUAUGAGGGUGGUGAGGUAGGUCCAGCAGUGAUUUAGCAGGGAAGUAGAGAUUCCCAGUUUUAGCCAAGUUGAGCUCAGGCAGAUGGUUUGUCAUACAAAUUGAGAUGUCUGAUAGGCAGGCUGAGAUGCGUAUCAAGACCAAUGUAUCAGAGCAGGGGAAGAGAGAGAGAGGGUUGUGCAUCAUCAGCAUAGUAAUCAUAAGUCGCGCUAUGGGAGGAGAUGACACAGCCAGGAGACAUGGUAUAGAGGGAAAAGAGGAGAGGGCCAAGGACUGAGCCCUGGGGGACGCCUGUAAAGAGCUCCUGCACCUCCCCCCCCCAUGCAACCUGGCAGGAGCGACGGUCAAGUCCAGAGGUGACUCAGGUACUCUUUUUAAUGGCUAAUCCAGAGGACAGUGUCCCCUACGGUACAAGGACGUUGUUCCCCUGGCCCCCGAGGAAGAAUGCCCCAUACUGACCCAUCAGCACCACUCCUGCAGCAGCCAAAUUUCUGGAGGAGGUUUAUUGUCCUGUAAGUUACCAAAGCCAGGACCACUCUGUUUCACCGAUCAGAAGGGAGGAAACUGAAGGUAAUAUGGCUCCUGCCAGUAAGACGUGGUUCUCACCCUUUUCAUUAACGCCAUAUUCAGAGUCCCAGUUUCUGCUGGUAGGAAAUUACAGUUGAGUUUCUCAUCCUCAGCCCGUAUUAACCAGAUAUCUGCUCUGUCCAUAUUAUUUAACCUUGCUGUACCUUACUAAUUGUUGACUUGAUAGCAUAUUCUGCCAAAUUAGAAAUGGCCAGCAAUGAUAAGAACAGGAGGUUGUGGGUUUCUAGGGUUUUAAUACUUGCAACAUUUGACUUCCUCAUUUAGUUCAAAUUAUGUAUCGCCUAGACGUCCAAAGUUUAAAUACACAGUUAUGAAUUUUUUAAUCGACACUAAUCCUGACAUGACCCUUGGAGGUUAGAUUUUUAGCACAGAGCUACUUCUGUUUAUGAAACGGGUUUGCAGUGUUACCCAACAUGUACUCCCUAAUUAACAUCAGCUGGAAUGAAAAUGGUGGUAAGUUAGCAUUUAUGUAUUUGAGUGAAAUAGGAGUGCGUAUUCUUUUUUCUUUUAAAGGUGAAUAAAGUUAAUUGAGACGUUU